rnacentral:rRNA from 1 species
AGGGAUCAUUACUGAGUUUACGCUCUACAACCCUUUGUGAACAUACCUACAACUGUUGCUUCGGCGGGCAGGGUCUCCGUGACCCUCCCGGCCUCCCGCCCCCGGGCGGGUCGGCGCCCGCCGGAGGAUAACCAAACUCUGAUUUAACGACGUUUCUUCUGAGUGGUACAAGCAAAUAAUCAAAACUUUUAACAACGGAUCUCUUGGUUCUGGCAUCGAUGAAGAACGCAGCGAAAUGCGAUAAGUAAUGUGAAUUGCAGAAUUCAGUGAAUCAUCGAAUCUUUGAACGCACAUUGCGCCCGCCAGCAUUCUGGCGGGCAUGCCUGUUCGAGCGUCAUUUCAACCCUCAAGCUCUGCUUGGUGUUGGGGCCCUACGGCUGACGUAGGCCCUCAAAGGUAGUGGCGGACCCUCCCGGAGCCUCCUUUGCGUAGUAACUUUACGUCUCGCACUGGGAUCCGGAGGGACUCUUGCCGUAAAACCCCCAAUUUUCCAAAGGUUGACCUCGGAUCAGGUAGGAAUACCCGCUGAACUUAA